UACGAAGGGGGCUAGCGUUGCUCGGAAUCACUGGGCGUAAAGCGCACGUAGGCGGCUCUUUAAGUCAGGGGUGAAAUCCUGGAGCUCAACUCCAGAACUGCCUUUGAUACUGAGGGGCUCGAGUCCGGGAGAGGUGAGUGGAACUGCGAGUGUAGAGGUGAAAUUCGUAGAUAUUCGCAAGAACACCUGCGGCGAAGGCGGGUAGCUGGGCCGACACUGACGCUGAGGCGCGAAAGCCAGGGGAGCGAACGGG
rnacentral:rRNA from 1 species